AACGAACGCUGGCGGCAUGCCUAACACAUGCAAGUCGAACGAGACCUUCGGGUCUAGUUGCGCACGGGUGCGAAACGCGUGGGAACCUGCCCUUAGGUUCGGAAUAACUCCCCGAAAGGGGUGCUAAUACCGGAUAAUGUCUUCGGACCAAAGAUUUAUCGCCUUUGGAUGGGCCCGCGUUGGAUUAGCUAGUUGGUAGGGUAAAAGACUACCAAGGCGACGAUCCAUAGCUGGUCUGAGAGGAUGAUCAGCCACACUGGGACUGAGACACGGCCCAGACUGCUGCGGGAGGCAGCAGUGGGGAAUAUUGGACAAUGGGCGGAAGCCUGAUCCAGCAAUGCCGCGUGAGUGAUGAAGGCCUGAGAGUUGUAAAGCUCUUUUACCCGGGAUGAUAAUGACAGUACCGGGAGAAUAAGCUCCGGCUAACUCCGU
rnacentral:rRNA from 1 species